AGGCCGGCAACACGGUGGUCGAGAACUUGGACGUGUGCAAGCCGGAUUCUCCAGGCGCUUACGUGCUGCUGGCAAAUUUGCAUAAGAAUCGUCAGGGAGGAAUGGCAUUUGCAUGGAAGAAAGGCCACAGUAGCUUGCCUGAUUGACGAAAAUUUUCGAUAGUUUGUUCUAGAGGCCGAUGCUCUUUAGUUUUGAUUCUAUCUCUUGUGACCUUCCUUUGGAGCUCUAACUUCAAAGCACAAGGAAGGAAAUAAGAUCUAAGAACACAAGAAAAGAAGAGUUUCUGACCUCAAGCAUAUGUAUAGUUUAUGUCGAUCGCAAUGCUAGCGAGAGAGAUUUCUAUUCUUUUGGAGAAAGAAAGAAUGGAUAAAAUGCGACAGCGCCGGCAUUGCGCUCCGCCAUAGCGCCGGCAUUCGCCAUAGCUGCCAUCGCGAAGACGAGGCCCUAAUUUUUCUUUAACGACCUGGAUCCAACGGUGAUCCCUUAACAUCCAAAGUUUUAGUAAAAUAGAAAAUAGUAUAUGCAAAGAAUCUUCAGGAAACUGG
rnacentral:lncRNA from 1 species